AGGCGCAAAUGCGAGAUUUGGCAGGGUUUGUCGAGACAAAACAACAACUCUUGUCUCUAAAAUCAAAUCAUCGUAUGAAUUGGAUUGGCUUUGCUGUUGCUCAUCAUUUAAACUCAAAUGCUUUAAAAGCAGUUGAAAUUCUGGAAGCAUAUGAAGGGACACUAGAAGAUGAUUUUCCUCCUGAUAAUGAACGUUGUGAACAUGGGGAAAUGCUUUUGUAUAAGGUAUUCUAAGUGGUAUCUUCUGUAUAUUGUUUCUUAUGUUAUAUAUUAAUGUAGAUCUUAUAGGUGACUAGCUGUCUAUUAUGUUGAUUUUUAGGCUUGUUUUUUGAUAUGGGUUUUAGUUAUUGUUAGGUUUUGUAGUUAUCUAGAAGUUUUGUGUGUAUUGGAGCUGUUACUGGCUAUUUAUGUUUCAGGUUUUUCCCCACCUAUUCUUGUGGUCUUUUUUUUAGGUUCCCUUGGUUUUCCCCACAGAAGGUUUUGCUUGCCUUUCAGGCUGUAAAGCAACUACUGAGGUUGAACGCUGAACACCCAGAUACACAUCGCUAUUUAGUAUGUAUCUCUGUUAUCUAUGGCCAUCGUGUUUGUAUAUGUUCUUAUCAGUUUGUGGUGAUCUGUCUAUUCCACUCGAACUUAUUGUUAACUGCUCGAAUAAGAGGAAUAGCAUGAGCUUCAUAAAGGACCUCUAACAGCCAUAUUCACAUUCUACUUGUUAAUUUGGAUGCCAUACU